rnacentral:lncRNA from 1 species
CGGAAAACUUAGGAAGAGCUGGAUGCCUCCCACGGAGAGCGUCCCUUCCAAGCGGCCCCGGAGUGGAGUGGAGUGGAGUGGAUAGGGGUAGACUUUUCACACGGGGACAAAUUAUUACAGGAUAUCUGCGCCCCCUGUUCCGAGUCACUCGGGGCCAUCGGUUACUUCAGCAGGUUCUCUGCAUCACGGACCCUUUUGAGGCUCAGGAAUUUACCAUGGAAAUUAUUGGCCAUAAUUGUUGGUGACACUAUCAAACUCAUAGUCACUCUAUAACGAUGUAAGUCCAGAAAACAGCCAUAAUAAUAAUGUCCUGAUUGAUAUUUAGAGCUAAAAGAAGUGGAAAGAGUUAUUUCAAUUUACCCUUCACCUGGUACUUCAGUGUUAAGUGGUUAAAUAAUUCCACAAAAAAUAAACACUCUUAAUCUUCUUCAGUCUAUAUAAAUUCUUACUCUAUACUGUGAACCUAG